rnacentral:rRNA from 1 species
GUGGGGAAUAUUGGACAAUGGGCAAAAGCCUGAUCCAGCCAUGCCGCGUGUGUGAAGAAGGUCUUCGGAUUGUAAAGCACUUUAAGUUGGGAGGAAGGGCAGUAAGUUAAUACCUUGCUGUUUUGACGUUACCGACAGAAUAAGCACCGGCUAACUUCGUGCCAGCAGCCGCGGUAAUACGAAGGGUGCAAGCGUUAAUCGGAAUUACUGGGCGUAAAGCGCGCGUAGGUGGUUUUGUAAGUUGGAGGUGAAAUCCCCGGGCUCAACCUGGGAACUGCCUCCAAAACUGCAUGACUAGAGUACGGUAGAGGGUAGUGGAAUUUCCUGUGUAGCGGUGAAAUGCGUAGAUAUAGGAAGGAACACCAGUGGCGAAGGCGACUACCUGGACUGAUACUGACACUGAGGUGCGAAAGCGUGGGGAGCGAACGGGAUUAGAUACCCUUGUAGUCC